rnacentral:rRNA from 1 species
UACGUAGGGUGCAAGCGUUGUCCGGAAUUAUUGGGCGUAAAGAGCUCGUAGGCGGUCUGUCGCGUCGGCUGUGAAAACCCGGGGCUCAACCCCGGGCCUGCAGUCGAUACGGGCAGACUAGAGUGCGGUAGGGGAGACUGGAAUUCCUGGUGUAGCGGUGAAAUGCGUAGAUAUCUGGAGGAACACCGGUGGCGAAGGCGGCAUCCUGGACCGACACUGACGCUGAGGAGCGAAAGCCAGGGGAGCAAACGGGG